AAGUCGUAAACAGGUUUCCGUAGCUGUAGACCGUACACUCGGGCAGGAGCUUUGCCAAAGGGUCCCCAUGCCCCCUAAUAACCCCACAGUUUAAUGUGAAGCUCAAUGUAAUACAUUGGGUAAAAAAACCGAACAACUGUUAACAAUGGAUAUCUUGGUUCUC
rnacentral:misc_RNA from 1 species